UACAGCCAUAUCACAUUAAAACACUGGUUUCCGUAGAUCACCGUAGUUGAGCAGCUUCGAGCCUGGACAAUACUAAGAUGGGUGACCGCAUGGGAAUACCAGGUGCUGUAA